AACGCAACCUUCGGGUUGAGUGGCGGACGGGUGAGUAACGCGUGAGAAUCUGCCUUGGGGUCGGGGACAACCACUGGAAACGGUGGCUAAUACCGGAUAAGCCUUUGGGUAAAAGAUUUAUUGCCCCAAGAGGAGCUCGCGUCUGAUUAGCUAGUUGGUGAGGUAAAAGCUCACCAAGGCAGCGAUCAGUAGCUGGCCUGAGAGGACGAUCAGCCACACUGGGACUGAGACACGGCCCAGACUCCUACGGGAGGCAGCAGUGGGGAAUUUUCCGCAAUGGGCGAAAGCCUGACGGAGCAAGGCCGCGUGAGGGAGGAAGGCUCUUGGGUUGUAAACCUCUUUUCUCAGGGAAGAAGCUCUGACGGUACCUGAGGAAUCAGCCUCGGCUAACUCCGUGCCAGCAGCCGCGGUAAUACGGAGGAGGCAAGCGUUAUCCGGAAUUAUUGGGCGUAAAGCGUCCGCAGGUGGCGAUUCAAGUCUGCUGUCAAAGCACGGGGCUUAACUCCGUUAAGGCAGUGGAAACUGAAUAGCUAGAGUGCCGUAGGGGUAGAGGGAAUUCCCGGUGUAGCGGUGAAAUGCGUAGAGAUCGGGAAGAACAUCGGUGGCGAAAGCGCUCUACUGGACGGCAACUGACACUCAGGGACGAAAGCUAGGGGAGCGAAUGGGAUUAGAUACCCCAGUAGUCCUAGCUGUAAACGAUGGAUACUAGGUGUAGCUUGUAUCGACCCGAGCUGUGCCGAAGCUAACGCGUUAAGUAUCCCGCCUGGGGAGUACGCACGCAAGUGUGAAACUCAAAGGAAUUGACGGGGGCCCGCACAAGCGGUGGAGUAUGUGGUUUAAUUCGAUAAUAAGCGGAGAACCUUACCAGGACUUGACAUCCCGAGAAUUUUCUAGAAAUAGAAAAGUGCCUUUUUAAGGAAUUCGGUGACAGGUGUUGCAUGGUUGUCGUCAGCUCGUGCCUUGAGGUGUGCGGUUAAGUCCGUGAACGAGCGCAACCCUCGUCGUACGUUGUAUUUUUCGUGCGAGACUGCCCGUUUUACGCGGGAGGAAGGUGAGGAUGACGUCAAAUCAGCAUGACCCUUAUGUUCUGGGCGACACAGGUGCUACAAUGGUUGGUACAAAGGGUAGCCAAGUCGUAAGAUGGAGCCAAUCCCAAAAAACCAAUCUCAGUUCGGAUUGAGGUCUGCAACUCGACCUCAUGAAGCUGGAAUCGCUAGUAACCGUGAAUCAGCCAUGUCACGGUGAAUAUGUUCCUGGAUCUUGUACUCACCGCCCGUCAAGUCACGAAAG
rnacentral:rRNA from 1 species